rnacentral:rRNA from 1 species
UGGGGAAUAUUGCACAAUGGGCGCAAGCCUGAUGCAGCAACGCCGCGUGAGGGACGACGGCCUUCGGGUUGUAAACCUCUUUUGGCAGGGAGGAAGCGAAAGUGACGGUACCUGCAGAAAAAGCACCGGCUAACUACGUGCCAGCAGCCGCGGUGAUACGUAGGGUGCAAGCGUUGUCCGGAAUUAUUGGGCGUAAAGAGCUCGUAGGCGGUUUGUCGCGUCUGCUGUGAAAACCCGAGGCUCAACCUCGGGCCUGCAGUGGGUACGGGCAAACUAGAGUGCGGUAGGGGAGAUUGGAAUUCCUGGUGUAGCGGUGGAAUGCGCAGAUAUCAGGAGGAACACCGAUGGCGAAGGCAGAUCUCUGGGCCGUAACUGACGCUGAGGAGCGAAAGCAUGGGGAGCGAACA